GACGAACGCUGGCGGCGUGCCUAAUACAUGCAAGUCGAGCGGAACUGGGGGAGCUUGCUCCCCCCAGUUUAGCGGCGGACGGGUGAGUAACACGUGGGCAACCUGCCCUGCAGAUCGGGAUAACUCCGGGAAACCGGUGCUAAUACCGAAUAGUUUGGCGCCUCUCCUGAGGCGCUACGGAAAGACGGUUUCGGCUGUCCAUGCAAGAUGGGCCCGCGGCGCAUUAGCUAGUUGGUGGGGUAACGGCUCACCAAGGCGACGAUGCGUAGCCGACCUGAGAGGGUGACCGGCCACACUGGGACUGAGACACGGCCCAGACUCAUACGGGAGGCAGCAGUAGGGAAUCUUCCGCAAUGGACGCAAGUCUGACGGAGCAACGCCGCGUGAGUGACGAAGGUUUUCGGAUCGUAAAACUCUGUUGUGAGGGAAGAACACGUACCAACUAACUAUUGGUACCUUGACGGUACCUCGCCAGAAAGCCACGGCUAACUACGUGCCAGCAGCCGCAGUAA
rnacentral:rRNA from 1 species